GACGAACGCUGGCGGCGUGCCUAAUACAUGCAAGUAGGACGCAGUUGCGAACGGGUGAGUAACGCGUAGGUAACUGCCUCUUAGAGGGGGAUAACUAGUGGAAACGAUAGCUAAUACCGCAAACUAGUAGAUGGACCUGCGUUGUAUUAGUUAGUAGGUAGGGUAAUGGCCUCCCUAUGCGACGAUACAUAGCCGACAUGAGAGGGGGGUCGGCAAAACUGGGACUGAGACACGGCCCGGACUCCUACGGGAGGCAGCAGUAGGGAAGCUUCGGCAAUGGGGGGAACCCUGACCGAGCAACGCCGCGUGAGUGAAGAAGGUUUUCGGAUCGUAAAGCUCUGUUGUUAAGGAAGCGGUACUUAACCAGAAAGGGACGGCUAACUACGUGCCAGCAGCCGCGGUAAUAC
rnacentral:rRNA from 1 species